AAAAGGCCCGUCUGGAAGAAUUCGCACUCCUACUUCCUCUGUGACUAGAUCUUGGUCAUGGAGGGGAGGAGAGGAUAUGACGAAGGGGGGAAAGAGGAAGGAGAUGGAGGAAGAUGUGUCGGAAAUAGGGGUGAUGUGCAGCAGGGUGGCAGGGAUGAGGAAAAGUGGAUAAGGGGUAGUGGAGACACAGUGGCUGAGAGGUGGUGUAGAAGGAAGUGACGGGGAGGUACAAUUUGC
rnacentral:lncRNA from 1 species